rnacentral:rRNA from 1 species
UACGGAGGGUGCGAGCGUUGUCCGGAAUCACUGGGCGUAAAGGGCGCGUAGGCGGUCGGGUAAGUGGGAUGUGAAAGCUCUGGGCUCAACCCAGGAAUUGCAUUCCAUACUGCUCGACUUGAGUUCGGUAGAGGAGGGCGGAAUUCCAGGUGUAGCGGUGAAAUGCGUAGAUAUCUGGAGGAACACCCGUGGCGAAGGCGGCUCUCUGGUCCGAUACUGACGCUGAGGCGCGAAAGCUAGGGUAGCAAGCAGG